rnacentral:rRNA from 1 species
UACGUAGGUGGCAAGCGUUAUCCGGAUUUACUGGGUGUAAAGGGCGUGUAGGCGGGACUGCAAGUCAGAUGUGAAAACCACGGGCUCAACCUGUGGCCUGCAUUUGAAACUGUAGUUCUUGAGUACUGGAGAGGCAGACGGAAUUCCUAGUGUAGCGGUGAAAUGCGUAGAUACUAGGAGGAACACCAGUGGCGAAGGCGGUCUGCUGGACAGCAACUGACGCUGAGGCGCGAAAGCGUGGGGAGCAAACAGG